UGUGUCUUAUUAAAUUAAACCAAAUGAGUUGGGGGUGGGGGAUGUCAUUAGCUGGAGAGAUCUCUAAGGGCUUUUCUUCACUUGGAGCACUCCACUCUUAAUAUGCUAAACCAAAUAGAUGGCUUUGUAGAGACAGGGAAAGAAUAAACCAUUGUGAUGACUGACAUGUCUUCUUAGGGUCCAUUUAGUUUAACAAUAAUUUUCUAAUAUACCAAAUCAUCAGGGAUCAUGACAAAAAAUGACUUGUUUUGAAAGGACUCUGGUUACAUUGUUUCUGGCCUUUGCUUACUACUAACAAUUUAAUCAGAAGCUGGAGCCAGCAGGGAUGUGGCAGACAAAGUCUAGUCUCUGACACAAAAAUGCUAAAGUACUUUGGGGGAUGGUGAUGGGAAAGCUUAGAAGCAGACAAAGUGCAGGCCUCCUUAAAACUAAACACCUGAGAGAAAAUUUCAAGAGCAUGGUGUCUUGAAAGCUCAGAAAGAAAGUGUCCCUUGAGUAUUAAAUAACCAUAAUCCUUUUUUUCCCAUUUGAUGUUUCCCAUCCCAGUGACCUAUCUAAGAGUCUCAUCCAUAUGAUCUACAUAAACAGACUGUUACCAUACACCUCACUUUACCUCAUCAAAGCUUCAGCUAGAUGUCUGGAAUGAAGCACUGACGAUGGUAGCCAUCAAGCAUGCGGUGGUGAAAGUUAUAAAACAUCCGCCGCAGUGCUAGCAGUGCUGCCCGUGUUUUAGAGAUCAGUCUAUUGUGUACUUUAGAAUUACAUGAGAAAAAUGUGCUUGGACAGGAAAUAAUUAGUGCUUGUCAAAGGGCAGGCAAUAGGCUACAGUAUUUUACUUUCAGCAGGCUAUCAGGGGAUCAGCUAGAUUAGAUAAUAGAUUUUUUUUUCCUCUGGAAGUUAAGUACAGAUGACUCUAAUUACCUUACAUUGCACAUUAGAGAGCACAUUAUGAACAGUACAACUUGAAGAAAUUUAGGUCGACUAAGAGAGUAGCUGGCAAAAACUUUACUGUACUCUUAGAAUAAUGUAGCCAUUUUAUUGUUUCAGCAGGUUCACUUGUGGCACUGAUACUUUAAUUUAAAAAAAACAAAAACAAAAAACAAAACCAUGGAACAGUAAAAAAAAAAAAAAAAAAAAAAAGAAAAGAAAAAAAAAAGAAAAA